rnacentral:rRNA from 1 species
CACACCGCCCGUCACACCAUGAAAGUCGGUUGUACCAGAAGUCGCUGCGCUAACCGUAAGGGGGCAGGCGCCCAAGGUAUGGCUGAUGAUUGGGUG